AGCGAACGCUGGCGGCAGGCCUAACACAUGCAAGUCGAACGAGACCUUCGGGGUUAGUGGCGGACGGGUGAGUAACACGUGGGAACGUGCCUUUAGGUUCGGAAUAACUCAGGGAAACUUGUGCUAAUACCGAAUGUGCCCUUCGGGGGAAAGAUUUAUCGCCUUUAGAGCGGCCCGCGUCUGAUUAGCUAGUUGGUGAGGUAAUGGCUCACCAAGGCUACGAUCAGUAGCUGGUCUGAGAGGAUGACCAGCCACAUUGGGACUGAGACACGGCCCAAACUCCUACGGGAGGCAGCAGUGGGGAAUCUUGCGCAAUGGGCGAAAGCCUGACGCAGCCAUGCCGCGUGGAUGAUGAAGGUCUUAGGAUUGUAAAAUCCUUUCACCGGUGAAGAUAAUGACUGUAGCCGGAGAAGAAGCCCCGGCUAACUUCGUGCCAGCCGCCGCCGUAAUAC
rnacentral:rRNA from 1 species